AAGAAAUUAGUUAAUUUAUAACAUUAGUAUGUCAUACUAAAAUUAUUAGAUAUAGCUAAUAUUUCUUU
rnacentral:tRNA from 1 species